rnacentral:rRNA from 1 species
GUAGGUGGCAAGCGUUGUCCGGAUUUACUGGGCGUAAAGGAUGCGUAGGCGGAUAUUUAAGUGAGAUGUGAAAUUCCCGGGCUUAACUUGGGAGCUGCAUUUCAAACUGGAUAUCUAGAGUGCGGGAGAGGAGAAUGGAAUUCCUAGUGUAGCGGUGAAAUGCGUAGAGAUUAGGAAGAACACCAGUGGCGAAGGCGAUUCUCUGGACCGUAACUGACGCUGAGGCAUGAAAGCGUGGGGUAGCAAACAGGAUUAGAUACCCUGGUAGUCCACGCCGUAAACGAUGAGUACUAGGUGUAGGAGGUAUCGACUCCUUCUGUGCCGCAGUUAACACAAUAAGUACUCCGCCUGGGAAGUACGAUCGCAAGAUUAA